rnacentral:rRNA from 1 species
CACCGCGGUUAUACGAGAGACCCAAGCUGACAAUCUCCGGCGUAAAGAGUGGUUAAGAUAACUUAAAUACUAAAGCCGAAAGCCCUCACAGCUGUUAUACGCAAUCGAGGGUAAGAAGCCCAACUACGAAAGUGGCUUUAUCCUAUCUGACUCCACGAAAGCUAGGGCA